CAGACCUCAUUCCAGAUGGUUGUGAGCCACCAUGUGGUUGCCGGGAAUUGAACUCAGGACCUUUGGAAGAGCAGGCAAUGCUCUUAACCACUGAGCCAUCUCUCCAGCCCGCCAAGUUAUUUUUGUAUUUCCCCAUUAUUUUCUUUUUCUAAGUUUUAUGGCUGUUUGAUUAUUUUAAAAUCAACUCACCAAAACAAUGACACGAGUCUCUUCUGAAAUGUAAGUGAUGAUGAUGAAAAGCUCUAUGCUAAAUCCAAGGGUGAAGAAACAAUGACACGAGUCUCUUCUGAAAUGGCUAAGCAAGCAGGGUGGCUGGGACGAACAAGCAGUCUUUCCCUGGAACAAUUGGCGCUCAAAGUGAUCAACUAAAUCAAUAAAAUAUAUGAACUACAAAAGAAAACAUUGAGGUUGGGGGAGAAAUGAGUCAGCAGCUCUGAUGGAGAUCUCCAAGGUAACCACAGGCUUUGUUUCUAUUGGUGGAAUUGAGAUCACAUUCCUCAUCGUUCAUGGAAAAAUUUGAAUUCACACACUCCUUCAGUCAGCGGCAAGACAAGUUUGGAAGUCAAUACCUGACAGAAACCGGGAAUAUACUGAUCAUAUGCACCAUUGGAGGACUCACUAUGAUAAUUGCUAUAUCGGGGAAAUAGCUUCCAGCAUCUCGGAGUCUGAAAUUUUCAAGUGGCAGAUUCCACAAUCACUGUGUUUAAGAUAUAUGAAAUGGCAUUUCUGAAUGUGAUACAGGUAAGCUGCAAUUGCCAAAAAAGAAUAAUAAUCAGCCAUCUGAAGGCAGGAAUGUUGGAUUUCAGGAAGAUAGGCAGGAUACAGACCCAAGAAAUGGGAUAUAUGUUCAACUCCUCACUACCUCUCAGUGGUUUCCCCUUUGAUAAUAGGAUUCUUGUCUAAAAUAAACUGAAUUUUUUUUUUCUGUCACCCACUUUUACUUUCAUUUUUUCGGCCGGAACACACCUUGAUAAGGGAGGGAGAAAUGCGGCAGCAGCUCUGAUGGACAUCUCCAUGGUUACCACAGGAUUUGUUCCCAUUGGUAGAGUGGAGAUCAUUAUUGUCUUUGGUCCAUAUUCCAGGAACAAUUUGAAAGCUCACUCUCCUGAUGUCUGAGGCAAGGAGAGCCAAUAACACUUUCAGCAUGCAGGUCCUUAUUAGUAGUCAUGCUCUGGCUAUAUUCCAUUUCUCAGAUGCUCAUCUCUAUAACUAAAACCAGAUUGUAUAGCAGCAGUCAAUGCUGAAUUAUUUCAUAUCAACUCUAAGGCAUGUGUUGGUGUCACCAGAGAUGGUCCCAUUGGCUGUCACAAAUACGGGUGCUGGGCAUGUGAGGGAAUGAGGUGUGAGAAGAAAAAUAGACAUUAUCUGGGUCGCUUGGAAUCAUAGCAGGAAAAUUCUUGAAAUAAAGUCAGCAUUUAUGGGAAUGAUACUGGGGCCAGAUUUAAGUAAAGCUAGAAAGUUAAUGGAAGGUAUUCAUCAUAAAGCAAUCUAGGGGAAGACGAGUUUAUGCCUUCUGUGGAUCAAUAUCUAUUGCAACUUUUCACUAUGCUGCCAAAUUUAACAUGAACAGUCUAGGA